rnacentral:rRNA from 1 species
GAUGAACGCUGGCGGCGUGCCUAAUACAUGCAAGUCGAGCGAACGGACGAGAAGCUUGCUUCUCUGAUGUUAGCGGCGGACGGGUGAGUAACACGUGGAUAACCUACCUAUAAGACUGGGAUAACUUCGGGAAACCGUAGCUAAUACCGGAUAAUAUUUUGAACCGCAUGGUUCAAAAGUGAAAGACGGUCUUGCUGUCACUUAUAGAUGGAUCCGCGCUGCAUUAGCUAGUUGGUAAGGUAACGGCUUACCAAGGCAACGAUGCAUAGCCGAACUGAGAGGGGGAUCGGCGACACUGGAACGGAGACACGGUCCAGACUCCUACGGGAGGCAGCAGUAGGGAAUCUUCCGCAAUGGGCGAAAGCCUGACGGAGCAACGCCGCGUGAGUGAUGAAGGUCUUCGGAUCGUAAAACUCUGUUAUUAGGGAAGAACAUAUGUGUAAGUAACUGUGCACAUCGUGACGGUACCUAAUCAGAAAGCCACGGCUAACUACGUG